AGUGAAAUCAAAAACAAAACAAUAAUGUGAAUUGAUCCCGUCGUAAUAGAUUCAAAUAAAUAUUAAUUGAGAAGAUUUUGCGGAAAUCAGAAGUAUGGAGGAUUCGCCGAAAACCCAAGUGCCUGCGUGUGACACACUGGAGGAAGACUUCCGAAAAGUAGAGUUCCUGGAGUCGAAAAACGACCGCGAGACUUUUUCUAAUCCGGCCAUCGAAACGGAACAGCUUUCUUCGGGCUUUUUGAAUGUUUCUCUGCCAUCUGAUUUUGAAGAGGACAACCGAAGCACUGGAAGCAAUCUUUUGCACCAAUCGCGUUCAGGAGACACAGCAUCUACGGAAGGAGUUGGGUCGAAUCACGGUGAACAAAUGUGCUUCAAGAUUAAUCUUUCGGUAGGAGACUAUAAAAAAUACCAAUUUCA